rnacentral:rRNA from 1 species
CUGNUNNNUGGGCNGGCGGGCCUAACACAUGCAGUCCGAGCGGUAGCACAAGAGAGCUUGCUCUCUGGGUGACGAGCGGCGGACGGGUGAGUAAUGUCUGGGAAACUGCCUGAUGGAGGGGGAUAACUACUGGAAACGGUAGCUAAUACCGCAUAACGUCUACGGACCAAAGUGGGGGACCUUCGGGCCUCACGCCAUCAGAUGUGCCCAGAUGGGAUUAGCUAGUAGGUGGGGUAAUGGCUCACCUAGGCGACGAUCCCUAGCUGGUCUGAGAGGAUGACCAGCCACACUGGAACUGAGACACGGUCCAGACUCCUACGGGAGGCAGCAGUGGGGAAUAUUGCACAAUGGGCGCAAGCCUGAUGCAGCCAUGCCGCGUGUGUGAAGAAGGCCUUAGGGUUGUAAAGCACUUUCAGCGAGGAGGAAGGGUUCAGUGUUAAUAGCUCUGUACAUUGACGUUACUCCCACAANAAGCACCGGCUAACUCCGUGCCAGCUNCCGCGGUAAUACGGAGGGUGCAAGCG